CGGAGCGGAUGGCAAACGGCGCUUGGGGAACUGUUACGCUUGGUGUGUUUGGUUAAAGAUAUCUUGGUUCUCAAAAUGUGUAAACUUAGCCUGUUUGACUCUUGUAAAAGCAAGCAAAGUAGCUGUUUAGUAUGUUACAAGUGGGACACGUUGAAAACCAGUAGCAGGUUUGACUGAAUCUUUCUCUGUGUCUGAUGAGGAGGAUGUGAAGCUCAGGACUGGUCAUCAUUUCAACACAUCAAUCUACAGACAAACAUCACAUUUAAUAAAGAUUUAAUGAAGAAAGCCUGAUCAAUGUGUCAAUGUUGUGCCCACUUGUGGAGGAUUUGUGCAUCUGCAUGAAAACAGCAAGAGGACAGGAAAUGAAGAGUGUGUAAUCCUGCAGCUGUAGAGCAGUUUAAGCCUCAUUAAAAACACCUGAAGCUGCUAAUCAAGCUCAUCAGCACUGAUAGAAAUCUCCUGACUCAACUCUUUUCUUUUAUUCCAGCAGAAAUUAAGAUUAAAAAUUGAUGUAAAAGUUAUUUAUUUUCAGUCAAUUACAGGCUGAAAUGAAUUAAGUUUUUGGUGACUAUUUUUGUGAUUGUUUGCACAUUUUAAACAGAAAUAUGUUUCAUGAAUGCUGACAUUUUUAAUUAAAAAUAAGAAGUUUAUGUGUGACAGUA
rnacentral:lncRNA from 1 species